GUGGGUAGUUUGACUGGGGCGGUCUCCUCCUAAAGAGUAACGGAGGAGCACGAAGGUUGGCUAAUCCUGGUCGGACAUCAGGAGGUUAGUGCAAUGGCAUAAGCCAGCUUGACUGCGAGCGUGACGGCGCGAGCAGGUGCGAAAGCAGGUCAUAGUGAUCCGGUGGUUCUGAAUGGAAGGGCCAUCGCUCAACGGAUAAAAGGUACUCCGGGGAUAACAGGCUGAUACCGCCCAAGAGUUCAUAUCGACGGCGGUGUUUGGCACCUCGAUGUCGGCUCAUCACAUCCUGGGGCUGAAGUAGGUCCCAAGGGUAUGGCUGUUCGCCAUUUAAAGUGGUACGCGAGCUGGGUUUAGAACGUCGUGAGACAGUUCGGUCCCUAUCUGCCGUGGGCGCUGGAGAACUGAGGGGGGCUGCUCCUAGUACGAGAGGACCGGAGUGGACGCAUCACUGGUGUUCGGGUUGUCAUGCCAAUGGCACUGCCCGGUAGCUAAAUGCGGAAGAGAUAAGUGCUGAAAGCAUCUAAGCACGAAACUUGCCCCGAGAUGAGUUCUCCCUGAGACUUUAGGUCUCCUGAAGGAACGUUGAAGACGACGACGUUGAUAGGCCGGGUGUGUAAGCGCAGCGAUGCGUUGAGCUAACCGGUACUAAUG
rnacentral:rRNA from 1 species